rnacentral:rRNA from 2 species
UUGGCUCAGGAUGAACGCUGGCGGCAUGCCUAAGACAUGCAAGUCGAACGAGAGGGCCCAUUGAUUUGGAUUGAAGGUGGAGUGCUUGCACAAAACCGGAUUUCCUUUGAUUUGGAUUUUCCCUCUAGUGGCAAACGGGUGAGUAACGCGUGGGUUACCUGCCCUCAAGUUGGGGAUAUCAUCUGGAAACGGAUAGUAAUACCGAAUGUGAUCUACGGAUUAAAGGAGCCUUUAAAGCUUCGCUUGAGGAUGGGCCUGCGGUGCAUUAGCUAGUUGGCGGGAUAACGGCCCACCAAGGCGACGAUGCAUAGCCGAACUGAGAGGUUGAUCGGCCACACUGGGACUGAGACACGGCCCAGACUCCUACGGGAGGCAGCAGUGGGGAAUA